AUGUUGGAGGUGGAAAUCUGCCUCUCUGUAGAACAGCAAGGUUAUGGGAAGGCAGUUCAGCUUCCCUGCAUUGCCCUGCCAAUGUGUUGCAACCCUGACCUACAGGGAUCACCCCCAAGAAUGGGAAGGUAGUUAAAUCCCUCAUGGCUUAUUCAGUACAUAGCCUCU
rnacentral:sRNA from 1 species